AAUAUUUAUUGGGUGCCCACUCUGUGCCAAGCAUUGUGCUGGGUGGCAGGGAUAGAACAACAGUCAAGUAAAACAGUUCCCUCUCUCACACUGCAGGCGGAGGGGCGGGGGUGCACAGAGGAAAGACCUGUGAAAGCAAAGGGAGAGGUGGGGAAGAGACAGACUAGGGCAGACAGUAAAGGCAAAGCAGAGAGCCACGCAGCAGAGAAGAGGCAGGCGGAGGCUGGGAGCAAACCAGGCGGGAGGGAGGCCCUGGCGGGGGAGGGCACGGGGAGGCCAGAGACCAGCUACUGGCUCCCAUCCAGGGGCAUCUGCCCACAGCUCAUAUUUUUCUGUCCAGUGACAGCUAAAUGAAGAGAAAGCUAACUUUACAACCGCCCACUUCACACAUAAUGAAUAUGAAUGGGCAUCCCGGAGCCUGUUCCCUGGGAUUAUCUGUGAGCCGAUGGCUUCUCCCACUGACUGGGCCAUCAUAGAGGGCCUGUCCCCUGGCUGGGACACAGGCAGCCCUUCCACCUGCUUCCCAUUAGCCAUCCUCCCCUCCUCCUCCACGCCUUAGGCGUCCCACCCAACACAGCCCCUGAGUCUUUCAGAUGCCCCUGCCCCCGCGCCUCACCCCAGAGGUGAAUUAAAUUUGGAAUCCCACAUUUAAGAGAGUUGCUAGUCUCAAUGUCUCUUUGCUAAGGCCCCUCUCUGCGCCAGUGAGGCCCACCCAGAGAAGCCCUAAAUCUUGGUCCUGGCAGGGGCAUGGACCCCAGCCCCAGAGCAGAGAGCCCUAGCAAGUGGGCCCUUCAGUCUGGUCUCAGUCCAGGCAUGAGGAAAUGCUUCUCAUUAGAGCCGCUCAAUCUUCCUUCCCCACCUCCCCCCAAGCAUUUACACAUCAACCUGAAUUACAGCCCUGAAGUGCAGACCUUCUGCAGCCCCCCCCCCCCCCCCCACAGGAACACAGGCUCGCCAGGAAACGCUAGGAAACGCAUUCCCUGUAUCAGGCAGAGGGAGCACACACCUCACUCCUGCCCCAGCCUCUGCCCCAGGCUCAUCCUACCCAUCUUCCCCAGGGGUAAGGAACACAAAAUGCCUGCUCCCAGAGCCCGAGUUUCCUGAUGCUGGAGCCCCCACCCUUGCCCCUCACCCAUGGCAGGCUCCCACGCCCAGUCUCUUUACCAGGGCACUGAUCGGGGCCAGUGGAGCCCAGGGGGCCCUGCAGACAUGUCUCUGCACCCACGUUAAUGCUUUCACUUGCUCUCGUAGCCAAUCUGUCCACCAACUGACAGCUCACCAAGCAUAGUGAGAGUGUGGUGCUCUGUUCACCUGGAUGCCCAGGGCACCUGGAACACAGCCUGGCCCAGAAGAGGUCUUCAAGGUGUGACGGCAGGGUGGCUAGGUGAGUGGCUGACUUUUGAGAGCCUUCUGUAUUUAGAGCGCUGAGCUCAGGAUGAGGGAUAGGAGGAGGCCUAAGACAUUAUUCUGGCCCUUGAAGGAGGGUCUCUUUUCCAGAGGAUUCAGGAAGUAGAAGCAAAUCCAGUGCAGGCUAGAGUUGGAAGGGCCCUUGGCAGGACUGAGUAGCUAUCAUUUAUGGGCCACGCUGUCCCUCCUCAGCCAGGUAUGUGGGUCUAUUAUCCAUUAUUUUAUUCAGCCCUCCUGACCACCUUGCUGUUUAUUAUUAAUCGGAUUUUUACAGAUAAGCCAACUAAAGCAGAGAGCUUGAUGAGCUCAAGGUCCUUCAGUGAAUAAAUGCAAGAGCCUGCAGCCUGAGGCUGACCCUGCCAAGUUGACAAACGAAUGGCACAGCUACUGCUGCCCUGCGCUGUCAGUGCAUUAGAGGAUAGACAGGAAGCUAGCUUUCCGGGAGAGAAGCCCAAUGGGAAUGGAGGGGCUGCCACACACAAGAGUCCUCUGGGACCCAGGAGAGACAGACGCCCAGGCACAGGCUGAAAAGGAAGGUAGCAGCGACCACCCCCGAACUACCCUGAUGAGGGCACAUUUGGGGCACGUUAGAAGUCAGGCUAAGGCCUAGCUGACAUUUGCCAAGAACCUUCUUGCCAAGGACCAUGCUUGAGCAAAUACAAAGUGCUGACUGAAUGCAGUGGUGUUAAGUGCUGUAGAAUCAAAAUGAUUCCUUAGAGAAAGGUUGGGGGCCAUGGGACGUACACAUUUGCAGCAGUAUUUUGUAUCUACAUAAUAUAUAUUACAUACAUACAUAUAUAUAUAUUAUAUAUAUAGUCCUCAGAGUAGUGGCUGGCACAUAGUAAGCACUAAACAUUUGCUGGCUCCUGUGUGGAAAACUAGCUUUCAAGAAACAUCAGUACGGGGCCUGGUACUUACCUAUCUGGCAUCUAGUUAAGUGGUAACUUUUGGUUAACAAAGGUCAGUUCCCUCAGGUGAUAGAGCCACAAGGUAAGCCAUCCUUAGUGGAUUAAAGGAGCCCAGACCUUGAGCCUGGUUAGCAAUAGUCACCAUUUUAUGUAACUCAAUUGUUUACAAAGGGCUUCAUG
rnacentral:lncRNA from 1 species